rnacentral:rRNA from 1 species
AGCGGCGGACGGGUNAGUAAUGUUCGGAAACUGCCUGAUGGAGGGGGGGAUACUACUGGAAACGGUAGCUAUACCGAUACGUCGCAGACCAAGAGGGGACUUCGGCCUCUUGCCAUCAGAUGUGCCAGAUGGAUUAGCUAGUAGUGGUAACGGUCACCUAGCGAGAUCCCUAGCUGUCUGAGAGGAUGACCAGCCACACUGGAACUGAGACACGGUCCAGACUCCUACGGGAGGCAGCAGUGGGGAAUAUUGCACAAUGGGCGCAAGCCUGAUGCAGCCAUGCCGCGUGUAUGAAGAAGGCCUUCGGGUUGUAAAGUACUUUCAGCGGGGAGGAAGGUCGUGGGUAAAAACCUUGGCAAUUGAGUACCGACAGAAAGAAGCACGGUAAUCACGGGUCGNCCAAGCAGGCACGCGGGGCAAAUAACCGGGGANGGGGGUUGCCACAGGACGUAUAAGUGCCGGGAAAUUCUCCUGGGGGCGUUAAAGAGAGCGCCAGCGCGCAAGGGCGGGUUCCACNCACGCAGCACANGAAUAGNAGCACACUCCACCCCGGNGGCCUUUCAACGANCACGAGGGGAACAAUACGGCAUUCCNAGAUGA